CACAUAUGAUCAAAUACAAGUAUAUUCCUUUCAACAUUGGAAAGCAGAAGUAUGUUGGUAAGAAGGCUUCUGCAAGUGGCAGUGGUUCACGUGGGGAUUAAACAUUGACCGGUUCAUAGGGCUUGUAGAAAAGGACCAGAUGGGGAAAAAUAUGUAGAAGUGAAGAUUCAUGAUAAUUGAUUUUUUUUUUUUUCCCUUCCUUUUUGAGUGACAUGCAUUAAUGUUAUGUGAUGGUUUGGAAUAUGCACUCGCAAUUGUGCCUUGGCAUUUUAUGAUGGCAGAGUGCUGAUGUAGCAGAAAGUGAAAUUUCAUCGUUUAUACGCAUAUUAAGAAGAUUCAGUUAUGUUUCUGAAAAUGAUUCUAUGUAAACUGCAUGGUGCAGUAUUAUUAGUUCACUCUCUGGUUUCUCAAUGUUAGACAUGGAAAUUGGCAGUAGCAGUUAGUGAAAUUUUCAUGCAAAUCAGAAGUUAUUACAGCCACU
rnacentral:misc_RNA from 1 species